AAAAAUACUAAUAAUAUACAUUCUUAGUAUCUAAAUACUGAAUACCAAAAACUAACAAAAUCUUCUAAAUCCUAGUAAUUUGAUAAAUUGUACUACUAUUUUAGAUAGAAUAAUUCCAUAAAGUUAUCAUGUAGGCAUCAGUUUCCACACAAUGAUCUCCCAUUUCUGCACAUUGAGGUGGAGGUAGCAUAAGUCCUUCUGCCAUAUUUGCAAGUAAUCCUGGCAUGAAAAAGAUCGCCUCCUCAUCCACGAAGUCACUACUCUCUUGCACAUUUUCUGACGUUUCAGGAGAUUCUCCUGAAACUUCUUCCGAUCGGAAGAUUUCGACGGCCUGAGCGGCCGCCUUUUGAAUAUCUUUAGAGUUGGAGGAAGCAGGGAUAGGCAGCCUCCAAGCAGAAUCAGAGAAAUUCAAACAAGCAGAACGGCCUCUUAAUGCUAAAGCCGCCACGUCAUGAGCUCUAGCCGCCAUUUCAGCCGUAGGAAAAGUACCAAGCCAAAUCCUUGUCUUCUUAUUUGGUUCUCUGACUUCACAAACCCAUUUUCCUGAAUUCCUCUUCCUGAUUCCCCUGUAUAUCGGAUGCCGUGUUUCUCGAAACUUCUUCCUGCCAGCUGGCUUUUUCGGGUUAUUCGAAGCUAAAAUAACUUCCUCUUCAGAAAACGACGAUGACGAUGAAGAAGAAGAUGAUUCGGUUAAAAUUAACGAGUCUGAAUAAUAGGUUUCAAAGAUAUUCAUUGUUGUUGAGAGCUAAAAAUAGAAAGU
rnacentral:misc_RNA from 1 species